UACGGGGGGAGCAAGCGUUGUUCGGAUUUACUGGGCGUAAAGGGCGCGUAGGCGGCGUGACAAGUCACUUGUGAAAUCUCCGGGCUUAACCCGGAGCGGCCAAGUGAUACUGUCGUGCUAGAGUGCGGAAGGGGCUACUGGAAUUCUCGGUGUAGCGGUGAAAUGCGUAGAUAUCGGGAGGAACAUCAGUGGCGAAGGCGGCCUUCUGGUCCAGUACUGACACUCAAGUGCGAAAGCGUGGGGAGCAAACAGG
rnacentral:rRNA from 1 species